AUUGAACGCUGGCGGAACGCUUUACACAUGCAAGUCGAACGGUAACGCGGAGAGAAGCUUGCUUCUCUCCGGCGACGAGUGGCGAACGGGUGAGUAAUACAUCGGAACGUGUCCGCUCGUGGGGGACAACCAGCCGAAAGGUUGGCUAAUACCGCAUGAGUUCUACGGAUGAAAGAGGGGGACCCGCAAGGGCCUCUCGCGAGCGGAGCGGCCGAUGACUGAUUAGCCGGUUGGUGAGGUAACGGCUCACCAAAGCAACGAUCAGUAGCUGGUCUGAGAGGACGACCAGACACACGGGGACUGAGACACGGCCCAGACUCCUACGGGAGGCAGCAGUGGGGAAUUUUGGACAAUGGGCGCAAGCCUGAUCCAGCUAUUCCGCGUGUGGGAUGAAGGCCCUCGGGUUGUAAACCACUUUUGUAGAGAACGAAAAGACACCUUCGAACAAAGGGUGUUGCUGACGGUACUCUAAGAAUAAGCACCGGCUAACUACGUGCCAGCCGCCGCCGUAA
rnacentral:rRNA from 1 species